UGACAAGUCACUCCAACUCGAAAAACCUUAGUUAUACCUGUGCAAUUUGGAGAGCCACCUGAUACCACCUAACUUCCUAAGGUCGUGGUGAGGAGACAGUUCUGCACAUCUGAAAGUCUUACAGGCAUGGGAGGAAACGCACAGAAGAAGUGUGGAUCAUCUGCCUGGGUGGCAAAUGUUUUCUCACUACACAUUCCUACCCUGAGGAAUGAAACCAUGCCAUUAGAGCGGAAUAAACCGGAUGGGAGAGCCAACUGCACAGCAAUAGGUGGGACACUGAUAACUGACUCCAUAUCAGUCACAUCUGAAGUCCACAAGCUGGAAGGAACUUGCUGAGAGCCAGGUGGUCAGAGGGGAUCAAGGAAAAGAAACCUAAAGGAAUGAGGACACUUUCAGA